GAAAAGUGAAGUACAAGCUGACAGCAGCGUGUAGAGCAGCACACACGUCUGUUAUUGAGGGAAAAGUUGCUGACUGAUCAUAAGGGGCUGUGCAGUGAGCAGACAUGGAAACUGUCAUUGGACUGUUAUUUAUGUUACUCGGAGUCUCUUAUGGUGUGGAAACUCACUGUGAUGGCAGACAGGAUGGAGCUCAGUGUUAUGUACCUUUGGGAGGAACUGUGGACAUUCAGCUGAUGAAUAGCACUUCUGAAAUACCUAGAUACCAGUUGUUAAAGGAUUCAUUAAAAAUACUAGCAGCGAGAAAUAAUACAGUUUUUUCUAAUGCCAUAGAGAGUAGGUCUCUCAUUUUUCCCAGUAAUGGAACAUUUAGGAUCAAUGACCUGAGUAGGAAUGACAUUGGUAAAUAUACCCUGGAAACCUUUGAUUCAGAUGGAAGAAAAUCAGGCGAGCGGACUCUAUAUUUGUUUACUCAAGGUGUGGAAACUCACUGUGAUGGCAGACAGGAUGGAGCUCAGUGUUAUGGAGCUUUGGGAGGAACUGUGAACAUCCAGCUACUGAACAGCACCUCUGAAAUAGCUAGAUACUACUUGUUAAAGGAUUCAUUAAAAAUACUAGAUGUGAGAGGGAAUAAGGCUAUUUAUAAUACCAUAGCACACAAAUCUCUAAUCUUACCCAGUAAUGGAACAUUUAGAAUCAGUGAUCUAAGCAGGACAGACAGUGGUAAUUAUAGCCUUAUAACCUUUGAUUCAGAUGGCAGAUCAUCAGGCGAGCAGAGUUUACAGUUGUUUAUUCAAGCUCCUGUGUCCUCUGUCCUGCUGGUCUCUGAGUGUCUGUCCCAGGGAGAGAGGAGGGUGUCCUGCUCCUCUGAGAGAGGGGACAGUCCUCAGUACAGCUGGACUCUGGAUGGACGCACACUGACAGAUGCUGAGCUCCUUCCUGGAAACAAUGAGACUAACAUCAUCACUCUGAAACAGCACGUCUCCGGACGUCUGGUCUGCUCAGUCAAGAACAACGUCAAUAGUGUCUCCAAAGAACAGGAGAUACCUGCCUGUGCUGAGUGAGAACAUUGUAAGCAGUGUCUAAUAAUGAAUCAGCAAUUCAGUCACUGAAGUUUCACAGCAAUCCAGGUCAUCGUAGUCUUGAGAGCUAGAGAUACUUGUACUUCACUCUGCUACACAAGGUGCCCAAGUGCUACAGCCUGUAUUAAGAAUAAGUAAAAGGACUGUUCUGCUCCAAAACUGUUGCUAAUUUUGACCUCACGUGUAAGACCUCUUGUAGACAUUGUGAGAUAUUGCUUGUGCCUUGUGCCGAGUGUCCUACCCCAGCAGAAGGUGGUAUUGUCAUUAUUCAUGCCAGUAUUUAUAACUUUACUAAUUACAGAAUUAUCUGUUUGUGUCUCAGAAAAUCACACGCAAAUUAUCACAUACAUACGUUCACUCCUAUCUGCACAAAAUUCGAAUUAAGGCUGGCAAGCAACAGAGACACAAUGCUAUUCUUUUUUUUCUGUAUGAAUUUAUUAAAGACAGUUAAUUGAACUCCUGGAUUGCUUCAGUCUUUCUGACAGUAGAUUUAGGCCAGAUUAUACACCAGCAUUUCAACAUAUCUUUCACAUGUAGCA
rnacentral:lncRNA from 1 species